GUGAAAUAUGAACAGAUGGCUAAAGACAGGGAGAAUGGCAUACUACAAAAGAUGAAGAGUACUCACUUGAGGACUGAUCCUGUGAGCUGCUGAUUGCUUCCAUCUCCCACAGGCUUCAAGAGUUGUUGGGUGUGCUCACUGUUUUGCAUGGUUGGGCUCUUGGAGCUGACCUCCAUCGUGUUUUCAUAAAGUUUUAAGUGGAAGCUGACCAAAGUAGCCUGUGAUCCCACGGACUUCAGUGGGUGCCCAGAGACUGCAGUACUGUAUUGAAGAGUUCUGGGGCCCUGUGCACUAUGGAAAUGGCACCCCCCUGACACACACCUGAAAGGUGCUGUGACCUGGUAUGAGGAGCCACAGGCUGCCCUGCUCAAGUGUGACGUGUUUUGCCCCUGCUGGCUACUAACAGAUUUCAGAUAGCACAACAGUUGCAUUCUCUUCAAUAUUAAUCCAGAAAUAGAUCCUGCAGUUUAUUCAACCUAGCUGAGGUCUGUUUCAGGUUAUGCAUCACCCCCCUUCUUUCUGGCUGUUGCCGUCUUCUUCCAGAGAACAUGUGUGUGUUGCUCCCAAGAGUUUAUGUGGUUUCUGGUUUGGAAUGGAGCACCCGUAGCAGGAACAGCAGAGCAGAAUGUGUUUAUGAGCAAGGAUGGUCAUGCAUGGCAGCAGGAACUCUGAGGUCAUUCUUUCCCUGUCCUAAACAAGAGACUGACAGUAGUGUUAAAAUUGCUUGCUGGAGAACAUAGAAUACCAUGCUCCUCAACCACAUCAAAGUAGUGAUAGGAGAUUGACAAUGGACAAAUGUGAGCUCCAUGCCAAGCACAUUAUGUCCAAACAACCACAGUGUAAAGAUCGUCUGCUCCUGCAGCUUGCUCAUCACCGUGCAAAGAACAGCAGUGCAAGACACUUUCACAGCAGAUUUGACAAAACACAAAGAAGGUACCGAUGUGAGAUGUCUAAAAAUAGCUACAGCACUCGACCCCAGGUUUAAGAUUCUGACGUGCCGUUGAAAAUCUGAGAGGUGUGGAGCAUGCUUUUAGGAGUCUUUUAGGCACAACAAUCUGAUGUGGAAACUACAGAACCCAAACCACCAAAAAAGAAAA